GAGGGAUGAAUAAGGGAUUAGUGCAGGCAAAAUGAGAAGGGAAGUGGAGUCACGAAGGCUUUCGAGGAUGCAGUGAGGAGUUUGAUAUCUAUCUUGAGAACUAGUAGAAGCUGCUGAUGUGAUUUAAGCAGAGAAGUGCUAUGGUCCAGUAGCAUGCUUGCAAUAUAUCCGAAACAGACAGAUAUGCUGGUCUAGUACUAAUCUUAGCUGAAAUGACAAUAGGAUAUUCAAGCUAAACAUAAAUUUAGAGACUGUCUUGUCCAUUAUUACAUGUGAUGGGCGAGGACACUGAGGCUCCUUAUUAAUGUCACUUAUACAAAUUUCAGUAGUGGGUCAGCGACAGAGUGAAGUCCAGAACCCAAGAGUCUUCUGACCACUACCCAGUCCUCUUUCAACUCUUGGGGAUCACGUUCCUCACCUCUGCUAGUGAUGUAGGGUGACAUUGCAGGUAAUCAAUUCAGACUAAGUUGGGUGCCCUGCCCUAAGAGUGUAGUGUUCUCUGAGCAGGGCUCCAUGAACUGCAUGGCUUGAGCAGAAAUAAUUCAUAGUCUCAAGCUGAUACUAGCAAAACCCACGAUUGACUACAGACCUAAGUGCCUGUGUUCUUUUGUGAU
rnacentral:lncRNA from 1 species